rnacentral:lncRNA from 1 species
AGAUGCCGGCGUCCCGUCCCGUAGGUGGGUUGGCGCACAGGUUUGGGAAAUGCAAGCCCAGCUCUGCGCCUUACCUGGCGCCUCCAGCCCUCCAGCAGCUUCGGCCCCGCUCUGAAAAGAUUGGCCAGCAGUUGCAUCCCUCGCACACACGGAGCCCUGAGCCCUGGGGUAACGCGGUUCCAAUUACUGCCAGAUCGGCAAGGCAUUUUGCAGAGGAAGAAACUGCAGUUUAAAGAGUGGCUGGCCUGUAGUCAUCAAGCCUGCAGACAGGAGAGGCAACACCCAGACUCAGUGACUGCCUCAGUGUGCUCCAUGUGGACAGAAAGACGGUGAUUGGAACAGUUUCUCAGCCCAUCUGUCGAGCGACAGAUUGAGGAAAGAGGUAGGAAGUAAGGCUGGGCUUCAUCAGUGCAUUCUGUGAGUCACAAUGAACUCCAUUAAUGUGUAAAAUUCUUAAAAAGAUAAAGAAGUGGUCUCUUGUGUUUGUGUGACUGGCUGGAUAUGUGAGAAGCUGUUGGAAGCAAACAGACAUCAGUGGUCAUUGUUCCAAAGCCUCAGACCCAAGCUACCUCAGCCAAAACCACCCUGAGAGAAAUCACAGCACUGACACGAGGCAGUUACUUUUG